CUGCCUUGGUAAUCAGGAGGUCCUCCAUAGUGCUGAUGUUGUGACGUUCCUCGGCCACGACCACCACUGCCUUGGCCUCCACGUCCCCCUUGAGAACCCCAACCUCUACCACCCUGGUACCCACUCCCACCAUGUUGCUGUGGGCCGUCUCUCCUUUCAGCUGAUCGUUGAGAGCCACGACCACCACCAUCUUGAGACUCGGAACUUUCACCACCAGCAUCGG
rnacentral:misc_RNA from 1 species